CUCCAUGCCCGUGGGCAUCUGCGGCACGGCCCGGUUGAUGGAGGCAUACUCGGCCAGGUCGGGCAGGUCCUCGCAGCGGAAGACCGGGAGCGGCUUAGACGCGUCCAGCGCCCGGGCCCGGAACGACAGUUUGCUCAUGAUGUCACCAGUUACACUCUGAAGUCAUUUGCAAACUGGGUUGGAAGACAGAAGAGAAACAAGAAUACCAGGGUCAUCUUGGCUUUCUGAAAACACUUCUAGUUUUAAAGCAGCUGCUGCACUGAUACUAUCAGACUAAAAGUCAAAAUUCUCUCCUGAUUAUGUAUGAUGGACUGAGAGUGGCAUUAUCUUCUUCUGGAUCAGGAAUGUAAAGUUGGAUUCUCUCUUUUAAAAAUUCAGAUCCUGGAGAAGGCAGACUCUGAAGAUGCCCACUGCUUCACAAAAUUCCAUGCUUAUGGAAGCAUGGGGGGAAAUAUGAUGUAGUGCCUUAUAUAGAAUUUGUUUGUUUGAAAUUAAAAUACUUGAGCAUCUCACUCUUAUUUUAACUUAUUUACUUAAGAAGCAACAGUGCAGGAUCUUUGAAUAUGAACAGAUGGGUUACACUAUUUCUAUAUUUUCAGCCAUCUUGAAAACAAAGCAAAAUUAUUCACAGUAGUUUGGCAGAAGCUGGCUAUAAAGAAUCAUACGAGUUAUAUAACUAAAUGAUUAGGAAAUAAAGUAUCAUGAACACCAUCCAGUUUUGGUAAGUACAAAGUUACAUUCACUAAGAAAAUGUAUCCUUACUAUAUAUAUAGUACAAAAUUUAAAUGGUCCUGCCUCAUGUGGAAGAAUGACACAAGGCUCAAGAUCCUAUUUAUCCUCUCUGUUCAUCUGUGUAUAUUUGUAGUCUGUUUAUGGAGACAUGCACUAGAGCAGUCUAUGGAGUACGUGGUGUACACAUGUCUGCCACAGGGAUCCAAAAGCUUCAUUGUAUGGAAAGUCUAAUACUGCAAUUCUGCAUACACUUACCUGGGAGUAAGAACCACUGAAUGCAGUGUGGCUUACUUCUGAGUAGACAUUUAUAGGAUUGCAGUGUAAGGUUUUUCAAAUAGUAGUGGGAAAAGGUUAUAAUGGAGACAUAUUAACAGGAUCAAAGUGAACAGAACUGCAAUUUAUCUUCUUAUAGCAUAAGUAUUACUCACUUAUAAUUCAGUAUAAUCAACCAAAAGAGCACAGAACACAAACCAAUGUCACAGGUGCCACUUGAUACUCUGGAUAGUAAAUUGAGGACUAUGUAUCUAUAAUUUGUCUUUUCUUUUAUGUUUACUUACUCUAAAAUAGGGAUAGGUAAAGUAUUGCCCUCCUAGAUGCUGUUAGACUGCACUCCCAGCAUUCCUCAAGAAUGCCUAUUUUGGCUAAGUCUGACAAGACUUGCAGUCCAACAUCAUCUGAAGGACCACACUUGGGCCACUUCUAUAUUAUUAUUAUUAUUACUACUGUAAAUUAUCUGCGAAUAGACAUUUAAAAUACAGGAUGACUCGGUUUAUUGCCACUGUAUGUUGCAUAGAUCUUGUCAGAUAUAAAAUGUCUUAUUUUCUUAACAUAAGCAUUCUCUGAAUUCUGGCUUGCUAUCAGUUCAGACCAUAAACACUCACCAUUAUCCAGAACCAGUCCUUCUUCAAAAUCAGUAGCAAACUUAACUGUAGUUCUUCACCAGCAGGAUGAUGUGACGAAACAGCAGUUUUAUUAAAAAACUGAACGUUUUUAGAUGAACAAGAACACAGUAGAUACACUACACAUAUACCAUGCAGACCUCAUCCAUAUCUUUGCUGAGGGCCUAUUUUCCAAAUCUCAAAUCUAGCAUCCUGUUGGUUUGUAUACAGUUUUAAAAUUAAUUUAAAUGGUUUUAACUUUACAAAAUGGUUAAUUAUUUUAAAUAAUGUUUACAUUUAUACUUUUUAUUGCUUUUUAUGUAGUUUUAAUCUAUUUUUUUCAUAAAUUGUAAUCUCAUUAUUGGGGAAAUAAGUUUUAAUAAAUGGCAAUAAGUCCCAUUAUUGGGGAAAAGGCAACAUAUAAAUAAAAUAAUAAUAAUAAACCUAUCACAUCAGACCCCAAUCCUAGAUGAGUACAGGUUGUUUUGUGUUGUGUUUUCCUACUGAGCAGGUACCAAGACAGAGCCAUGGUGUCCACCAGCUUAAAUGAAACUCUUCUCCAAGCCACAACUUGUUUAGGCUUUUGAAACUUCUUCCUGACCUUCAUUUUUGUACUGUAUUCACUCAUUUCAGAAUGUCUGCAUUAAAUUAGU